AAGCAUUGUUUCUAGAUCUGAGUAUAUCAAUAUUACCUUGUUCAGAACUUAAAGAGAAAUCUUGAGUUUAUGGACUUCAGGGGGAGUAUGGUCACAAGGCUGAAACUUAAAGGAAUUGACGGAAGGGCACACCAGGAGUGGAGCCUGCGGCUUAAUUUGACUCAACACGGGAAAACUUACCAAGACCGAACAGUAGAAGGAAUGACAGAUUAAGAGUUCUUUCAUGAUUUAUUGGGUAGUGGUGCAUGGCCGUUCUUAGUUGGUGGAGUGAUUUGUCAGGUUAAUUCCGGUAACGAACGAGACUGAAACCUAUUAAUUAGUUUUCUGCCUAUAAGACAGAAAUGUUCGCAAGAACAGGUGCGUAAGUACCACUUCUUAAAGGGACACAUUUCAAUUGUCCUAUUUUAAUUGUAGUUAUCUAAUUUCGGUUAGACCUCUU
rnacentral:rRNA from 1 species